rnacentral:rRNA from 1 species
UGGGGAAUAUUGGGCAAUGGGCGCAAGCCUGACCCAGCAACGCCGCGUGAGGGAAGAAGGCUUUCGGGUUGUAAACCCCUGUCCUUGGUGACGAAACAAAUGACGGUAGCCCAGGAGGAAGCCCCGGCUAACUACGUGCCAGCAGCCGCGGUAAUACGUAGGGGGCGAGCGUUGUCCGGAAUUACUGGGCGUAAAGGGUGCGUAGGCGGCCUUUUAAGUUGGAUGUGAAAUACCCGGGCUUAACUUGGGGGGUGCAUUUAAUACUGGUGGGCUAGAGUGAAGGAGAGGGGAGCGGAAUUCCUGGUGUAGCGGUGAAAUGCGUAGAUAUUAGGAGGAACACCAGUGGCGAAGGCGGCUUUCUGGACUGUACCUGACGCUGAGGCACGAAGGCGUGGGGAGCAAACG